CCGAGUUGUAAUUUGCAGAGGAUGCUUUUGGUGCGGUGCCUUCCAAGUUCCCUAGAACGGGACGCCAGAGAGGGUGAGAGCCCCGUACAGUUGGACACCAAGCCUUUGUAAAGCUCCUUCGACGAGUCGAGUAGUUUGGGAAUGCUGCUCAAAAUGGGAGGUAUAUUUCUUCUAAAGCUAAAUACCGGCCAGAGACCGAUAGCGCACAAGUAGAGUGAUCGAAAGAUGAAAAGCACUUUGAAAAGAGGGUUAAACAGCACGUGAAAUUGUUAAAAGGGAAGCGCUUGUGACCAGACUUGCGUCCGGUGAAUCACCCAGCUCUCGCGGCUGGGGCACUUCGCCGGCUCAGGCCAGCAUCAGCUCGCUGUCGGGGACAA
rnacentral:rRNA from 1 species